rnacentral:Y_RNA from 2 species
GGCUGGUCCAGUGCAAUGGUGCUUACAACUAAUUGAUCACAACCAGUUACAGAUUUCUUUGUUUCUUUUUGACUCCCACUGCUUCACUUCGCUAGCCUUAA